CAAAAUUUCUCUCUCCUUAUCACAAAAAUCACAUCUCACCAUUUCUCCCUCCAUCACAGAAAUAACCUCAAAAAUACCUGGCUCCGACAACAAAAACGAGAGAAAAAUUUACUCCGGCGGCCGCGUUUGUUAUGGGGCUUUGGAAGAAAAAAAAAAUGUACUCCAACGGUCGAUCUACUUUGGGGGUAAAAUCUUGGGGGGUGCGGUGGUGGUGGUACCAUGGUGAUGUCGGUUGCAAUGAUGUUGGUGGUGUCUAACGGAAGGGUUUGGAGGCGAUGGAAGACCAAGAGAAAGGUUUGGAGGAGGGAGUUGGAAGAGCCACCAGCAGCAGCCCGUCUCCACCACCAACAGCAUAGUUAUUAUUAUUAAUUAUAGGGAUUAUUUAUAAGUUAGUUUUUAUCAAAUGAAAAAAAUUUGUAGAAUAUUUCAUUCUAGCAAAACAUUAACGAAGCUCAUCGGCCAAUGAGCGAGUUUUAAGGUCGACGGUCAAUGUAUGGCAAUAGGAUCUUCAUUUACAUAUUGUUCGAUCAUGUUGACCAAAAAGGGAUAAAUAUGUAUAUUCUGG
rnacentral:lncRNA from 1 species